rnacentral:tRNA from 1 species
CGGGGUGUAGCGCAGUCCGGUAGCGCGCCACGUUCGGGACGUGGAGGCCGUGGGUUCGAAUCCCGCUACCCCGA